AGCUUUGAGCACUAACUAUAACCUGUCUUCUCUAAGGUGCAAUUGUUGCUAAUUGAAUUAUCCCAAUACCUUACCACGAUGACUUGAAAUAUAGUCAGCAUUGGCAAUUCCUGAUAGUCUCUAUAGAGA
ensembl:snRNA predicted gene, 26393